rnacentral:sRNA from 1 species
UAUUCUGCCCCAUGGGGAAGGAUGAGAAGCUUCGACUAAGGUUCGACUCGAGCGAAGCGAGAGAACGUUGCCGCAGGCAACGGCCCGAAGGGCGAG